GCGCCCGCGGAUCAGCCGGGCAAUUAGGAGCGCCCGGCGCUGGCACUCCCGGCGCUUUCAGCCUCGGUCGCCGGGGCCCACAGUGCGAGGCCCGGCUCAGCCGCAGGCAACUCGGCCGCUGAAGCCAUAUUGCUUUGACAGUUGCACUCAUCUAGAAAUAAUGCAAAACGCUAUUUAGACGGACACAUCACGACCCUGCGCUGGAGAAAGAAAGCAAUCUAAUGGGGGCCAGGAGGCUACGGGCGGCGGGCGGGCGGCUGCGCGCUCACAGCUCCUCGUGCUUGAUCCGGUGCGAGCGCCGCGUCAGGGCCGGCUUCUGCGAGCUGCUCUUGGCCUCCGAGGCUUCCGCGAAGAACUUGAAGAUAGACGGGAAGCUCUUCCAGGAAGUGAGCUCGUGACGGUCGGUGCCUGCGGAAACACACACCGGGUUACGAGGGGUCGCACGGGUGUGUGGCCGGAGGCGAGGAGCCCACCCUCCAGGCGACUGCACCGCCGCCGGCGAGCUCGCCUCCCGCUCACCCGCCCAGGUUCCGCCUGUCCCUGGUGUCCCCGGGGCGCGCCACCUAGCGCGCCCCCACCCCCGCCCUUCCUCGCCGGGCUAAAACUUGCUCCCGGGGCCCCAGAGUUACGGCCCGGAGCUCCUGGGGCCCCGAGGCCCUCAGGGCCAAUCCAGUAGCUCAGCGGGAAGGGCCACUCCCUCUCCCGCCCAGAAACCACCCACCUCUCCAGGCCUGGGAUUGGUUUCCCCAGCGUGCAGGAUCCCGAUUCCACCACACCCACCCCGGAGCGCCUCGGUGUCUUGGCUUCCCAGGCAGAAUGGGGGGGAAUAGUUCUUUUUCUGGCCUGUCCUAGUCUCUGAUGUUGGACACGACUGUCUCAGUGAGGUCACUGGGAUCAAAUCACUGGAGAUAUUUAAUGAAAGGACGGAUUCAAAAGGAGACCAGGGGCCUUGAAAGUAUCCUAGGCGGGCCACAUGCUUUACAGAUUUUAGAACAAAUCUAGAAAAGCCAGACAAACCCUGUUUCAAAGCAGAACCACUGAAAGAGCAUUUAGGCCCCCUCUUCAGUCGGGGAAUUCAGAAAAACGUUAGAUUUUCAAUUUACCAGGUUAUUUUACUACAGUUUCUCUCUGUGGUUUUAAUAUUGGGUUGAAUAUUAUACACUAUUCUUCAAACCAAAUGGAACCUUUAGUUUGUGAAAAAGGAAGCAGGUAGCAUGUAGGCAUGGGAAUACACGAAGAAAUAAUAUGGGCUUAAGAAAAAAAAUAUUUGUGAUAGCAUAUAUAAUUUAACCAAUAACUUCAUAAUCAAUUUUUUAAUUAAAAUAAAAAUAAUUACAAAUCCUCCCUCAUAGACAUUAGGAAACAGUUGAAAUCUCAACUGCAAUCACUCAAUUAUGCAGAAUCUGCUUGGAAGUCUCUGAAUUCAGGGCCUCUGAUACUUUAACAUUGUUAAUGAUAAUUCUUUAGUCUGUAAUAGUAGGUCAUUGCUAUGGUUACUCUACAAUGGUGCAACACUUUGCCUUCCCCCUUCAGCUAUUCGCUGAGACCUGGUAACCACAUUUGUUGCCUAGCAACAGCUUUGUGACAGUAUCACAAUCUGGGAGAUAUAACAAUAAAGAUGCUAUGGCUGCACUUGGUUGGCCAGAGAGCAGAAAGCUACAAGUUUGUGCAUGUGACUUAGCUGUGGGAGCUGUCCCUACUGGAGAACUCAUUUCUUGCCAGGUGCCCUUCACAAUGAUGUCUUCGCCCCCUCUUCUCUGGCCUUGUGAACUUGUUCUUGGAACUAAGAUCCAAUAUUGAAGUCAUCCUCUGGAGACAGAGCCUCCUAUAGCACUGUAUCUACACUGAAAAAUGAGGUCAUUUCUCUAUUUGCUUACACAUUUCUGGAAAAAUUCAAUUUAUUCAGUGGAAGGAAUUGGUGAGUAGGUGUUUCACUGGUAAGUCUUAAAGGGCCUGAAUAAAUUCUAAUAAUUCUUAACAGAAUUCUUAGGAAAAAGUCGGACUUCACCAGUAUGUGUGCAAAAUUACAAGUUCUUUAAAACACAUGAAACAUGUUGAUACCAUUAUUGUAUUUUGUUUUACUAAGUUUGUCAAACGAUGCCCACCAUGGAUUCCUUUGAAUUUGGAGGGAAUUAUAUUCUUAAAACACAAGUGUACAGUUCUAGACAUCCUCAAACAUGUCUAUUUCAAGUAAAUGUCAUGAAUAUUUCUAGAAGAAGGCCCUGUCUCUGGGAAGGUUUACGAAGAGUUUGUCUUUUUCUGUAUGGUCUACAAUCUGCUUUCAGCUCAGUACCAAGUAUCAAAUUGCACUCCUGAUGACAGACUAGUUAAUCCGUAUUUGUUCUUUUUGAAUGACCAUCCUCAGAUGCAACAGCUAUUCCUAAGCACCGAGUGUCCCCCAGUAUUAGCUGUCUUUCCUUCCCAUAUCCUAACCUGCUCACAUCUACCAUUUGUCCAUAAGAUCAGCUACACCUGCCAGUGGUGACCAGGUGAGGAUCAAUUUGUAAAGGUCGUGGGAGUCUCCUCUCACAGUUCCUCUUACUCCUUAAAAACCAAUUCAGUCUAUGACUCUGGAGAGACUUUGAGUCAAUGGGCUCAAGCAAUUUUAUCCCCCACUUCCCUAGUGACAAUCUUUCUGAAGGAUGAACAAAUGUCCUUGAUGAUAAAAAUCACUCCAAAAUUCUUUUUGGUUUUGGCUUAUGACAACUCUCUGCACGAGCAGUCUUGCUCUGAAAAGACCAUUGUGCAAAGGAGAACUGGGUACAUGCAGUUGUUCUGAGCAUCUACUCUUGCAAAUAAAGAUGAAAUAAUUAG
rnacentral:lncRNA from 1 species